rnacentral:rRNA from 1 species
AUGAACGCUAGCGACAGGCUUAACACAUGCAAGUCGAGGGGCAGCACAGGUAGCAAUACCGGGUGGCGACCGGCGCACGGGUGAGUAACGCGUAUGCAACUUACCUAUCAGAGGGGGAUAACCCGGCGAAAGUCGGACUAAUACCGCAUGAAGCAGGGGCCCCGCAUGGGGAUAUUUGCUAAAGAUUCAUCGCUGAUAGAUAGGCAUGCGUUCCAUUAGGCAGUUGGCGGGGUAACGGCCCACCAAACCGACGAUGGAUAGGGGUUCUGAGAGGAAGGUCCCCCACAUUGGUACUGAGACACGGACCAAACUCCUACGGGAGGCAGCAGUGAGGAAUAUUGGUCAAUGGGCGUAAGCCUGAACCAGCCAAGUCGCGUGAGGGAUGAAGGUUCUAUGGAUCGUAAACCUCUUUUAUAAGGGAAUAAAGUGCGGGACGUGUCCCGCUUUGUAUGUACCUUAUGAAUAAGGAUCGGCUAACUCCGUGCCAGCAGCCGCGGUAAUACGGAGGAUCCGAGCGUUAUCCGGAUUUAUUGGGUUUAAAGGGUGCGUAGGCGGCCUUUUAAGUCAGCGGUGAAAGUCUGUGGCUCAACCAUAGAAUUGCCGUUGAAACUGGGGGGCUUGAGUAUGUUUGAGGCAGGCGGAAUGCGUGGUGUAGCGGUGAAAUGCUUAGAUAUCACGCAGAACCCCGAUUGCGAAGGCAGCCUGCCAAGCCAUGACUGACGCUGAUGCACGAAAGCGUGGGGAUCAAACAGGAUUAGAUACCCUGGUAGUCCACGCAGUAAACGAUGAUCACUAGCUGUUUGCGAUACACUGUAAGCGGCACAGCGAAAGCGUUAAGUGAUCCACCUGGGGAGUACGCCGGCAACGGUGAAACUCAAAGGAAUUGACGGGGGCCCGCACAAGCAGCGGAGCAUGUGGUUUAAUUCGAAGCAACGCGAAGAACCUUACCUGGUCUUGACAUCCCUAUGAAUAACGGGCAAUGCCGUUAGUACUUCGGUACGUAGGAGACAGGUGGUGCAUGGUUGUCGUCAGCUCGUGUCGUGAGAUGUUGGGUUAAGUCCCGCAACGAGCGCAACCCUUGCCACUAGUUACUAACAGGUAAAGCUGAGGACUCUGGUGGGACUGCCAGCGUAAGCUGCGAGGAAGGCGGGGAUGACGUCAAAUCAGCACGGCCCUUACAUCCGGGGCGACACACGUGUUACAAUGGCGUGGACAAAGGGAAGCCACCUGGCGACAGGGAGCGAAUCCCCAAACCACGUCUCAGUUCGGAUCGGAGUCUGCAACCCGACUCCGUGAAGCUGGAUUCGCUAGUAAUCGCGCAUCAGCCAUGGCGCGGUGAAUACGUUCCCGGGCCUUGUACACACCGCCCGUCAAGCCAUGGGAGCCGGGGGUACCUGAAGUCCGUAACCGCGAGGAUCGGCCUAGGGUAAAACUGGUGACUGGGGCU